rnacentral:rRNA from 1 species
UACGUAGGGUGCAAGCGUUGUCCGGAAUUAUUGGGCGUAAAGAGCUCGUAGGCGGCUUGUCGCGUCGGCUGUGAAAUCCCGAGGCUCAACCUCGGGCCUGCAGUCGAUACGGGCAAGCUAGAGUGUGGUAGGGGAGACUGGAAUUCCUGGUGUAGCGGUGAAAUGCGCAGAUAUCAGGAGGAACACCGGCGGCGAAGGCGGGUCUCUGGGCCAUAACUGACGCUGAGGAGCGAAAGCGUGGGGAGCGAACAGG